rnacentral:rRNA from 1 species
CCUGCGUCAGAGUGAACGGCUGGCGGUAGGCGUAACACAUGCAAGUCGUAACGGCGAGCGACACGGAGAGCUUGCUCUCUGGGUGGCGAGUGGCGGACGGGUGAGGAAGUACAUCGGAAUCUACCGUUUCUUGGGGGAGUAACGUAGGGAAACUUACGCUAAUACCGCAUACGACCUACGGGUGAAAGUGGGGGACCGCAAGGCCUCACGCGAUUAGAUGAGCCGAUGUCCGAUUAGCUAGGUUGGCGGGGUAAUGGCCCACCAAGGCGACGAUCGGUAGCUGGUCUGAGAGGAUGAUCAGCCACACUGGAACUGAGACACGGUCCAGACUCCUACGGGAGGCAGCAGUGGGGAAUAUUGGACAAUGGGCGCAAGCCUGAUCCAGCCAUACCGCGUGGGUGAAGAAGGCCUUCGGGUUGUAAAGCCCUUUUGUUGGGAAAGAAAUCCUGUCGGUUAAUAACCGGUGGGGAUGACGGUACCCAAAGAAUAAGCACCGGCUAACUUCGUG